rnacentral:rRNA from 1 species
AGAACGAACGCUGGCGGCAGGCCUCAAACAUGCAAGUCUAGGGGGGUGUAGCAAUACAUCACCGGCGGACGGGUGCGUAACACGUGGGAAUAUACCUUUUGGUUCGGAACAACUGAGGGAAACUUCAGCUAAUACCGAAUGUGUCCUUGCGGAGAAAGAUUUAUCGCCAAAGGAUUAGCCCGCGUUCGAUUAGCUAGUUGGUAGGGUAACGGCCUACCAAGGCGACGAUCGAUAGCUGUUCUGAGAGGAAGAUCAGCCACACUGGGACUGAGACACGGCCCAGACUCCUACGGGAGGCAGCAGUUGGGAAUCUUGGACAAUGGGGGAAACCCUGAUCCAGCCAUGCCGCGUGAGUGAUGAAGGCCUUCGGGUUGUAAACUCUUUCGACGGGGACGAUAAUGACGGUACCCGUAGAAGAAGCUCGGCUAACUUCGUGCCAGCAGCCGC